rnacentral:rRNA from 1 species
UACGUAGGUGGCGAGCGUUGUCCGGAUUUACUGGGCGUAAAGCGCGCGCAGGCGGCUGGUCAAGUCCGAUGUGAAAGCUCCCGGCUUAACUGGGAAAUUGCAUCGGAAACUGAUCGGCUGGAAGGUGGGAGAGGGUAGCGGAAUUCCCGGUGUAGUGGUGAAAUGCGUAGAUAUCGGGAGGAACACCAGUGGCGAAAGCGGCUACCUGGCCCAUUCUUGACGCUGAGGCGCGAAAGCUAGGGGAGCAAACGGG